AGAUAGGUUCUCGCUCUGUCGCCCAGGCUGGAGUUGGAGUACAAUGGUGUGAUCUUGGCUCACGGCAACCUCUGUCUCACUUGUUCAAGCAAUUCUCAUGCCUCAGCCUCCCGAGUAGCUGGAACUACAGGCAUGCACCCCUAUGCCUGGCUAAUUUUUGUAUUUUUAGUAGAGAUGGGGUUUCACCAUGUCAGCCAGGCUGGUCUCAAACUCCUGGCCUCAAGUGAUCCACCUGCUUUGGCCUCCCAAAAUGCUGGGAUUACAGGCAUGAACCACCACGCCUGGCGCUGGCAUAGAUUCCUUUUUUUUUUGAGACGAAGUCUUGCUCUGUCACCAGGCUGGAGUGCAGUGGCGCGAUCUCGGCUCACUGCAACCUCCGACUCCCUGGUUCAAGCUAUUCUCCUGCCUCAGCCUCCCGAGUAGCCGGGACUACAGGCAGGCGCCACCAUGUCCACCUAAUUUUUGUAUUUUUAGUAGAGACGGGGUUUCACCAUGUGGUCUCGAUCUCCUGACCUCGUGAUCCACCCGCCUUGGCCUCCCAAAGUGCUGGGAUUACAGGUGUGAGCCACCGCGCCUCGCCUAGAUUUCUUGAUUAGUGGCUCCUGAGGGGUUCUGAAACCUGGCCUUGUGUGAGGGUUACCUGGGGAGAUUUUGAACAGUUUUCUAGGCCUCAUUGUAGACCCCAAAAAGAAGCAAAAGAGGAACUUUGUUAACUGCUUUGCCAAGACGCAGGUGUGUACAUCUGAGCUGUGUGACUGAGCACUGGCUAUAUACAGCAGUGUCCUGUUCUCCCAUCUCCUCUCAGGACUUGAGUCCGUGGCCUUCUGCUGGGGCCCAGGGCCCAUCUCUCCUGUUAGUGCUUGCAAAGCUGUUAAGUAACCAUCCCUCUCUGCCAUGCUUCACACUUUGCCCUGGAGUGGGCAUCAAGCUCUCUGGGGUUGAGUUUGGGGCAUGGGUGUUUUCCAUUUUCAGGAGCUGGGUGGCACCCCUGGGCUUUUUCAGUUCCCCUCUAUACACUGAAGUCUACUUGGGCUCCGAAGUGGACCUCAUUCUGAGAAGCAUUGCUCUCUUUCUCCUGCACCACCUGCCCUGGUUGGGAAGCCUGCUGUCCCCAUCAAGAGAAGGAAUGUGUGAGCUGCCUGGUGCUUUCCCUUGAACUCUCUCUUUGUCAGCACUGCACCAUCAGCCCUGAGCAGCUGACUUGGGUUGCUUCUUGCUCUGAGCAGAACUGAAACAAACCUUUGUGGGAGUGUUAUUUGUAAGCAUCUGUCAUUCUUGGCUUUGGUCUUCCUAACUCUGUUCUAGAGCUGGGCUGCUCUUGCGGUUUUUAUCAGGUCCUUUCUUCUGUCAUUUGUAACAUCCUUUUGAAUUCCACUUCUUGGAAUUUACAUUGGUUUCCUUCAAUUCCUUCCCUAAUUCUUCACUGUCAGGACCAUUCUCAGUUAUCGGGGCACAGUUUUGCUUGAGGGUUUACAACCAUCUUGAGGGUUUGAGUCAUCUGGCCUUUUGAGUCUCAGAUAUUCAGAUGGAACUGAUCUCUGAAUGAUUCCAAUUUUUCUUCUUUCUU
rnacentral:lncRNA from 1 species